AUGAACGCUAGCGGCAGGCUUAACACAUGCAAGUCGAGGGGCAGCAUAAUGGAUAGCAAUAUCUAUGGUGGCGACCGGCGCACGGGUGCGUAACGCGUAUGCAACCUACCUUUAACAGGGGGAUAACACUGAGAAAUUGGUACUAAUACCCCAUAAUAUCAUAGAAGGCAUCUUUUAUGGUUGAAAAUUCCGAUGGUUAGAGAUGGGCAUGCGUUGUAUUAGCUAGUUGGUGGGGUAACGGCUCACCAAGGCGACGAUACAUAGGGGGACUGAGAGGUUAACCCCCCACACUGGUACUGAGACACGGACCAGACUCCUACGGGAGGCAGCAGUGAGGAAUAUUGGUCAAUGGACGCAAGUCUGAACCAGCCAUGCCGCGUGCAGGAUGACGGCUCUAUGAGUUGUAAACUGCUUUUGUACGAGGGUAAACGCAGAUACGUGUAUCUGUCUGAAAGUAUCGUACGAAUAAGGAUCGGCUAACUCCGUGCCAGCAGCCGCGGUAAUACGGAGGAUUCAAGCGUUAUCCGGAUUUAUUGGGUUUAAAGGGUGCGUAGGCGGUUUGAUAAGUUAGAGGUGAAAUUUCGGGGCUCAACCCUGAACGUGCCUCUAAUACUGUUGAGCUAGAGAGUAGUUGCGGUAGGCGGAAUGUAUGGUGUAGCGGUGAAAUGCUUAGAGAUCAUACAGAACACCGAUUGCGAAGGCAGCUUACCAAACUAUAUCUGACGUUGAGGCACGAAAGCGUGGGGAGCAAACAGGAUUAGAUACCCUGGUAGUCCACGCAGUAAACGAUGAUAACUCGUUGUCGGCGAUACACAGUCGGUGACUAAGCGAAAGCGAUAAGUUAUCCACCUGGGGAGUACGUUCGCAAGAAUGAAACUCAAAGGAAUUGACGGGGGCCCGCACAAGCGGAGGAACAUGUGGUUUAAUUCGAUGAUACGCGAGGAACCUUACCCGGGUUUGAACGUAGUCUGACCGGAGUGGAAACACUCUUUCUAGCAAUAGCAGAUUACGAGGUGCUGCAUGGUUGUCGUCAGCUCGUGCCGUGAGGUGUCGGGUUAAGUCCCAUAACGAGCGCAACCCCUACCGUUAGUUGCCAUCAGGUCAAGCUGGGCACUCUGGCGGGACUGCCGGUGUAAGCCGAGAGGAAGGUGGGGAUGACGUCAAAUCAGCACGGCCCUUACGUCCGGGGCUACACACGUGUUACAAUGGUAGGUACAGAGGGCAGCUACCUAGCGAUGGGAUGCGAAUCUCGAAAGCCUAUCUCAGUUCGGAUUGGAGGCUGAAACCCGCCUCCAUGAAGUUGGAUUCGCUAGUAAUCGCGCAUCAGCCAUGGCGCGGUGAAUACGUUCCCGGGCCUUGUACACACCGCCCGUCAAGCCAUGGGAGCCGGGGGUGCCUGAAGUUCGUGACCGCAAGGAGCGACCUAGGGCAAAACUGGUGACUGGGGCU
rnacentral:rRNA from 1 species